CGCACGGGUGAGUAACACGUGAGUGACCUGCCUUUUAGACUGGAACAACUUACCGAAAGGUGAGCUAAUGCCGGAUGAGUUAUAUAAGUGCAUGUUUAUAUAGGAAAAGUUGGGGAGACCUGACGCUGAAAGAUGGACUCGCGUCCCAUUAGCUAGUUGGUAGGGUAAUGGCCUACUAAGGCGACGAUGGGUAGCCGGCCUGAGAGGGUGGCCGGCCACACUGGGACUGAGACACGGCCCAGACUCCUACGGGAGGCAGCAG
rnacentral:rRNA from 1 species